AUUGAACGCUGGCGGCAGGCCUAACACAUGCAAGUCGAACGAGUGGCGGACGGGUGAGUAAUGUCUGGGAAACUGCCCGAUGGAGGGGGAUAACUACUAGAAACGGUAGCUAAUACCGCAUACCAUCGGAUGUGCCCAGAUGGGAUUAGAUAGUGGGGGGGGUAACGGCUCACCUAGGCGACGAUCCCUAGCUGGUCUGAGAGGCUGACCAGCCACACUGGAACUGAGACACGGUCCAGCCUCCUACGGGAGGCAGCAGUGGGGAAUAUUGCACAAUGGGCGCAAGCCUGAUGCAGCCAUGCCGCGUGUAUGAAGAAGGCCGUCGGGUUGUAAAGUACUUUCAGCGGGGAGGCGUUACCCGCAGAAGAAGCACCGGCUAACUCCGUGCCAGCAGCCGCGGUAAUAC
rnacentral:rRNA from 1 species